GCUUUUAUAGGAUAGAAGUAAUCCGUUGGCCUUAGAAUCCAGAAACUCAAAAACAUUUGAUAAAAGCA